AUGAUCACUCAUGUGGCGAUACACGUCAGCGUUAACGAAAGCAUAAGUGAUCCACCUGGGAGUACGGCCGCAAGGUUGAAACUCAAAGGAAUUGACGGGGGCCCGCACAAGCGGAGGAGCAUGUGGUUUAAUUCGAUGAUACGCGAGGAACCUUACCUGGGCUAGAACGCAAGACGAUUUCCCGUGAAAGCGGGAUUCCCUUCGGGGCGGCUUGCGAGGUGCUGCAUGGUUGUCGUCAGCUCGUGCCGUGAGGUGUCGGGUUAAGUCCCAUAACGAGCGCAACCCCUAUCAUUAGUUGCCAUCAGGUCAUGCUGGGGACUCUAGUGAAACUGCCUACGCAAGUAGAGAGGAAGGUGGGGAUGACGUCAAAUCAGCACGGCCCUUACGUCCAGGGCUACACACGUGCUACAAUGGUCGGUACAAUGGGUCGCUACCUGGUGACAGGAUGCCAAUCUCAAAAACCGAUCUCAGUUCGGAUCGAAGUCUGCAACUCGACUUCGUGAAGUUGGAUUCGCUAGUAAUCGUACAUCAGCAAUGGUACGGUGAAUACGUUCCCGGGCCUUGUACACACCGCCCGUCAAGCCAUGGAAGCUGGGGGUACCUGAAGUCCGUGACCGCAAGGAGCGGCCUA
rnacentral:rRNA from 1 species